CAGUAGCCGCGGGAAUACGAAGGGGGCUAGCGUUGUUCGGAUUUACUGGGCGUAAAGCGCACGUAGGCGGACUUUUAAGUCAGGGGUGAAAUCCCGGGGCUCAACCCCGGAACUGCCUUUGAUACUGGAAGUCUUGAGUAUGGUAGAGGUGAGUGGAAUUCCGAGUGUAGAGGUGAAAUUCGUAGAUAUUCGGAGGAACACCAGUGGCGAAGGCGGCUCACUGGACCAUUACUGACGCUGAGGUGCGAAAGCGUGGGGAGCAAACAGGAUUAGAUACCCGGGUAGUCCCUGUCUCUUAUAC
rnacentral:rRNA from 1 species